AGUCUGCAACCCGACUACAUGAAGCUGGAAUCGCUAGUAAUCGCGGAUCAGAAUGCCGCGGUGAAUACGUUCCCGGGUCUUGUACACACCGCCCGUCACACCAUGGGAGUCGGAAAUGCCCGAAGCCGGUGACUCAACCUUUAAGGAGAGAGCCGUCGAAGGCAGGUCUGAUAACUGGGGUGAAGUCGUAACAAGGUACC
rnacentral:rRNA from 1 species